GCCUGGUUGGCUCAGUGGGUUGAGUGUCUGACUUCGGCUCAGGUCAUGAUCUCACGGUUCGUGGGUUCGAGUGCCACAUUGGGCU
rnacentral:tRNA from 1 species